AAGUUCGCUACAAUCGGGCAUAAAGUUCACCAUUAUCCAAGCAAUCGAUAUUGGCAUAAAUUCCACAUAAGGAACAUCAAUUCCAUCAUCGAGUAAUCGUUAGUAGCCGCGAGUUUUCCCUCUUCCACUCUCACCAAAGAAGUUCCCUGAACGCUAACUCAAGGAGAACGUGAUGUGACCACGGGCCAAGAAAAGGAAGAAACGCCACCAUAUCCAAUGCUUUUCACGCUUGAACGUCAACCGUGGCUCGCGUGUCGGCAUCCCAUAGAAGAGGAGCGAUUCCGACGAAUACGUUUUUUCCUUCGAAACGUAUGCGCAGGCUGAUUGAAUUGAACGACAGGAGAACGAGAGAAGAGGACGUCUCCGAAGGAGGCAAUGACUUGGUUGUUGAUCGUCAACGUUUAAUGCAUCUGGAUCUGUCGUAACUUUAACUAACUGUGAAUAUACAGGGUGUCUCAAAAUAUAACGACAAAA